rnacentral:rRNA from 1 species
CCUACGGGAGGCAGCAGUGAGGAAUAUUGGUCAAUGGCCGAGAGGCUGAACCAGCCAAGUCGCGUGAGGGAUGACGGCCCUACGGGUUGUAAACCUCUUUUGUCGGGGAGCACAGAGAGUCACGUGUGGCUCAUUGCGAGUACCCGAAGAAAAAGCAUCGGCUAAAUCCGUGCCAGCAGCCGCGGUAAUACGGGGGAUGCGAGCGUUAUCCGGAUUUAUUGGGUUUAAAGGGUGCGCAUGCGGAGGUGCAAGUCAGUGGGCAAAUGGCGGGGCUCAACCCCGUACUGCCGUUGAAACUGCAUCCCUUGAGUGCGCGAGAAGUAUGCGGAAUGCGUGGUGUAGCGGUGAAAUGCAUAGAUAUCACGCAGAACUCCGAGUGCGAAGGCAGCAUACCGGCGCGCAACUGACGCUCAUGCACGAAAGCGUGGGUAUCGAACAGGAUUAGAUACCCCAGUAGUC